ACAGAGGUGUUUUCAGCUGGGAUCUUUCACGGUGGUGCAUGGGUUUUUCACUGUGGACAGGGGCUCCAGAGCACGUGGGCUCUCUGAUUCUGGUGCAGGGGCUUAGUUGCCUCACGACAUGUGGGAUCUUAGUUCCCCAACCAGGGACUGACCUCACGUCCCCUGCACUGGAAGGUGGAUUCUUAACCUUCCCAUGGGCCAGCAGGGAAGCCCCCUGGCUGCUGUUCUAAGCUGCCAUUUAUUCUCUCAUUUGAGCAUCUGUGGCCUUCUCGGACCCCCUCUUGCUGGACCCUUCCACUUGGAAUUCCUUUGUCUCAGGCAGUGCCUCUUUUCUAACCAGCCACCUACAAUCCCUCUCUGCUUCUCUACCCAGUAGAAUCGCCAACCACUUUUUGCCGAGGACACCUCAUUGACGACAGGAAGUCCUUUAGGUCAGAAUUCCUUUUUAAACAACCCAGACUCGCAUUCCUUCUGUGGGUUUCACAUUUGGUCCCUGGAAAAAUGUAGCUUUGGCCUGGAAUCCGCCAGAAUGUGGUUAAUUUCCUAAACGCAGCCCUCAGCUAUAUUGACACAGUUCACUUCAGCCAGCCCCUCAUUAAAGACUUUUUUUCCUUAGGCAUGAAUCUAAUGCCUGUUUGUGUUCCUCCAGCUUCAAAAGAUACCUAUCAAAGAUGCCUGUGAAGCUCCCACAUGGCUAGGGUGUGGGGAGGGAGGGAGUGUCAGGAAGAAUUCACAGCUCAAGUGAAUUCCUGAGAGCUUUCAAAGGAAGUCAUGGAAUCUUAGCCUGUGGUGAUAACAACUGCUCACAUUCCUUCCUGAAGACUCGACUUUCCUGUAACCUUACAGUUUGAGCAUAGCCAUCAAAGAAGGAAUGAACGCCUUUUCCAAGGCAUUCUGUUUGCAGGCUCGAGGCUGUUCAUCAAUCAUAUAAGAGGGUGGUAUUUUCUGGUCAACUAAAGUGACUCAUCCAGCCAGAGGGUGGGCUAUUGAGGACACAUGACACCUUCCAGUUCAACAGGCUCUUCGGCUGAACACCUGUGUAGUCAC
ensembl:lncRNA